AAAACAUUGUCUCAUGAAAUAAAAUAUGAGAUAGCUCCUGCCCAGUGACACACAGUUCAACGGCCGCGGUAUCCUAACCGUGCAAAGGUAGCAUAAUCACUUGCCUAUUAAUUGUAGGCUAGAAUGAAAGGAUUAACGAAAUAAAAACUGUCUCAAUUAAAUACCUAAAAAUUAUUUCCUACAUGAAGAAAAGUAGAUAUACUCGAAGGACAAGAAGACCCUAUAGAGCUUAAUUUUAAUUAUAGAACAACACUAUAAAAAUAUUCGGUUGGGGCGACCCAGGGCUAAAUAAUCACCCAAUAAAUAAAAGAUAUAUAAAUCAAAUAAAUGACCCUUAAAAGAUCACAAGACCAAGCUACCUUAGGGAUAACAGGCUAAUCCCACUUAAGAGUCCAUAUCAACAGUGGGGUUUGGCACCUCGAUGUUGGCUUAGGGUAUCUAUGUGGCGCAAAAGCUACAUAAAGAAGGUUUGUUCAACCUAUAACACCCUACGU
rnacentral:rRNA from 1 species